rnacentral:lncRNA from 1 species
AGGAGCGUCUCUGCCCGGCCGCCCAUCGUCUGAGAUGUGGGGAGCUCCUCUGCCCCGCCGCCCUGUCUGGGAUGUGAGGAGCGCCUCUGCCCGGCCGCGACCCCGUCUGGGAACUGAUGAGUGUCUCUGCCCGAUCGCCACCCCAUCUGGGAGAGGAAAGGCCAUGUAAGGACAGAGCAAACAGGCAACUGUCUGCAAACCAGGAAGAGAGGCCUCACCAGAUAUCAACCUUCAUGGCACCUUGAUCUUGAUCUUUCCAGACUGUGAGAAAAUUAACUUCUGUUGUUGUUUAAGCUGCCCUCCAACUCCGUCUGUAGUAUUUUGUUACGGCAGCCCAAACAGACUAAUACAUCAAGUAACCACACAAAUGCAUGUACAAUUAAAACUGACCUAACUGUUAAGAAGAGGAGAUAGGGCAAGAGUAUAUUUAUCGAGGGUAUUCUAUCUGGUCAGAGAUGAGAGAGAAAGAUUUUUCUGGGUAAAGUUAACAAGGUAUAUAGGGUGGGGUGAAUAUGGAGUGGGGAAUGGUCCCAGAUAGGGCCAAUUGCUUGUGCAAAGGCCCUGGGGUGAGACAGAGCACAGUUUAUUAGAGAAACCAAGUGGCAGCUGUGUGAUUGGGGUGCUAAGAGUGAAGAGGAAGGUGAUACAGGUGAGGGUGGAGAAGAGGGUGAGGCCUAACUUCCCAGGACCAUGCAGGAUUUUCACUGCUAACUUGGGCCACUUGCACACCAGACUGGAGCUGGAAAUGGUGGGUAUGGGAGACAGAGAUCAAAAUAACCUCUAGAUGUCCACUUGCAUAGCUGGUAGGUCACGGGACCAUUCAUGAUAGGGAAGCCCAGGAGAGAACCAGAUUUCAAAGAGAAAGUCAUGAAUUUGCACGUGUCAAGCUUGUUGUGCUUUUGAGUCACUUAGAAAGAGACAUUUGUUUGCGGACCUAUCUACAAGUCUAGACUCAGACAGAGACCUGAGUCAUGUCAUUACACUGACAAGGUGGGAGAGGUGAUUCGGGACAGUCAUUCUCAGACUUUGAGUUUCAAGACCCCUUUACACUCUUAAAAACCAUCAAGGACCUCAAAGAGCUUCUGUUUAUGUGGGUUAUAUCUGUCCAUAUUUACUGUAUUAGAAAUGUAAACUGAAAUAUUAAUAUUAAUUUAUAAUAAACCUGUUUUACCUUAACAUAAAAAAAAGAAAUAAAACAUGCAAAAAUAUUUUACUACAGAUUA